rnacentral:lncRNA from 10 species
GGAACAUUUGCCUAAAUCUUUGGAAGGAUUUUUUAUCUAUGAAGAAGAAGGUUCUGGAGUUCCAGGUUCUAGUAGGAAAGGAAAUGAUGCCAUCGUAGUAGAACAAUGGACUGUUAUUGAGGGAUGUGAAAUCAAAACAGAUUAUGGCCCUCUGCUGCACACUCUGGCUGAAUUCGGAUGGCUUCUGACAAGCGUGUUGCCCACACCUGUAUUGAGACAUGACAGUGAAGGGAAUUUGGCUACAAAGCAGAUCGUAUUCCUUCAGAGGCCAGUUAUGUGGAAUUCAGCUGCUCAAACACCAGAUGCUAGAGUGCAUUGGUGUGAUCUUGGCUCACUGCAACCUCCACCUCCCAGAUUCAAGUGAUCCUCCUGCUUCAGCCUCCCAAGUAGCUGGGAUUACAGGCGUGUGCCACCACACUCUGAUAAUUUUUGUAUUUUUAGUAGAGAUGAGGUUUCACCAUGUUGGUCAGGCUGGUCUCAAACUCCUGACCUCAAGUGUUCCUCCUGUCUCAGCCUCCCAAAGUGCUGGGAUUACAGGUGUAAGCCACUG